CACUCCUACGGGAGGCAGCAGUGGGGAAUAUUGCACAAUGGGCGCAAGCCUGAUGCAGCCAUGCCGCGUGUAUGAAGAAGGCCUUCGGGUUGUAAAGUACUUUCAGCGGGGAGGAAGGCGAUAAGGUUAAUAACCUUGUCGAUUGACGUUACCCGCAGAAGAAGCACCGGCUAACUCCGUGCCAGCAGCCGCGGUAAUACGGAGGGUGCAAGCGUUAAUCGGAAUUACUGGGCGUAAAGCGCACGCAGGCGGUCUGUCAAGUCGGAUGUGAAAUCCCCGGGCUCAACCUGGGAACUGCAUUCGAAACUGGCAGGCUAGAGUCUUGUAGAGGGGGGUAGAAUUCCAGGUGUAGCGGUGAAAUGCGUAGAGAUCUGGAGGAAUACCGGUGGCGAAGGCGGCCCCCUGGACAAAGACUGACGCUCAGGUGCGAAAGCGUGGGGAGCAAACAGGAUUAGAAACCCCUGUAGUCCCAUGAU
rnacentral:rRNA from 1 species